rnacentral:lncRNA from 1 species
GUUUUUUAAUUUGAUAUUUUUUUUAAUUUUAUCAUUUAACAUUAAAUUAAGUGGCAAUUAAGAUUUUUAAUUAAACCCGUGUUUUCAAUUUCAUGGGAUGCAAAUAUAGAAUAUUAAUUUAGAUUUAAAAGAUUCAUCUGGAUCAAUUAGUAUGGGAUUAAAUAGUUAAUUUACCCUUUAUUCUUUUUUUUCCCACAAUGGCUU